UCCCUGGUGGCCCAGGGGUUAGGACUCUGCUCUCCCAGUGCAGUGGGCUCAGGUUCAAUCCCUUGUUAGGGAA
rnacentral:tRNA from 1 species